GACGAACCGAGCGAACGUUGUUCGGAAUCACUGGGCUUAAAGGGCGCGUAGGCGGGCUGUCAAGUCUGGGGUGAAAUCCCACGGCUCAACCGUGGAACGGCCUCGGAUACGGGCGGCCUCGAGGGGGGUAGGGGCAUCUGGAACUGUGAGUGGAGCGGUGAAAUGCGUUGAUAUUCACAGGAACUCCGGUGGCGAAGGCGAGGUGCUGGACCCCAUCUGACGCUGAGGCGCGAAAGCCAGGGGAGCGAACGGG
rnacentral:rRNA from 1 species